GAACCUUCUCCUUACCCAUUUUCUAGCACUGAUCCAAAAUUGCCAAAUUCGAGUUAAUUAUUGGACAACAAAAACGCAAAACCAUCAAUAAUCUUCACCGACUUACCUAAAAUUACAUAAUUUUAACAACUAAUGAUAUGAUUCAAAUCUGCUAAUUUAAGCUCAUAAUUCACAUCCUAUUGAUCUCAUCUCAUAGAUCUAUACAGCACAACACAUAAACCUAAACAAGUCUAAUAUAAUAAAUCAAAUCAGAUAUAUCAAAGACAAGCUAAACUACUGUACACGCUAUAUUUGGGAGCUCAUAACGCAAAAGCUACUGAAGAUAGAGAUAAACAGAUCUAAGAAUCGACCAUGGCAAGAGAAGUUAAGUGAUUAACGAGGCUAAAUCGAUUUACCUGAAAAGAAGAUAAACGAGGCAGCUACGAGAUGGCCGCAGCAGAGCAGGGCGAGCGAGAG
rnacentral:misc_RNA from 1 species